rnacentral:miRNA from 1 species
AUACACACACACACACACACACGUAUAUAUAUACAUAUACAUACACACACACAUAUAAUAUUAUAUAUAUAUAUAUAUAUGUGUGUGUGUGUGUGUGUGUGU